rnacentral:rRNA from 1 species
AUUGAACGCUGGCGGCAUGCCUUACACAUGCAAGUCGAACGGCAGCGGGGACUUCGGUCCGCCGGCGAGUGGCGAACGGGUGAGUAAUGUAUCGGAACGUACCUUUCAGUGGGGGAUAACGUAGCGAAAGUUACGCUAAUACCGCAUAUUCUCUGAGGAGGAAAGCAGGGGACCUUCGGGCCUUGUGCUGAUGGAGCGGCCGAUAUCAGAUUAGCUAGUUGGUGAGGUAAAGGCUCACCAAGGCGACGAUCUGUAGCGGGUCGGAGAGGAUGAUCCGCAACACUGGGACUGAGACACGGCCCAGACUCCUACGGGAGGCAGCAGUGGGGAAUUUUGGACAAUGGGCGCAAGCCUGAUCCAGCCAUGCCGCGUGAGUGAAGAAGGCCUUCGGGUUGUAAAGCUCUUUCGGACGGGAAGAAAUUGGUGGGGCUAAUAUCCCCAUCGGAUGACGGUACCGUAAUAAGGAGCACCGGCUAACUACGUGCCAGCCGCCGCCGUAA